GACGAACGCUGGCGGCGUGCUUAACACAUGCAAGUCGAACGGAAAGGCCCUGCUUUUGUGGGGUGCUCGAGUGGCGAACGGGUGAGUAACACGUGAGUAACCUGCCCUUGACUUUGUGAUAACUUCAGGCAACUGGUGCUACUACCGGAUAGGAGCUCCUGCUGCAUGGUGGGGGUUGGAAAGUUUAGGCGGAUGGGGGUGGACUGGCGGCUUAUCAGCUUGUUGGUGGGGUAGUGGCUUACCAAGGCAUUGAUGGGUAGCCGGCCUGAGAGGGUGACCGGCCACAUUGGGACUGAGAUACGGCCCAGACUCCUACGGGAGGCAGCAGUGGGGAAUAUUGCACAGUGGGCGGAAGCCUGAGGCAGCAACGCCGCGAGCGGGAUGACGGCCUUCGGGGUGUGAACCGCUUUCGCCUGUGACGAAGCGUGAGUGACGGUAAUGGGUAAAGAAGCACCGGCUAACUACGUG
rnacentral:rRNA from 1 species